UGAAAAGAUACAUGCACCCCAGUGUUCAUUAUAGCACUAUUCACAAUAGCCAAGACAUGGAAGCAACCUACGUGUCCAUCAACAGAGGAGUGGAUACAGAUGGGGUACAUAUGCACAGUAUAUAUACAAUGAAAUACUACUCAGCCUUAAAAGAAAGCAAUAACCAUUUGUAGCGACCCGGAUGGAGCUAGAAACUAUCAUACUAAGGGAAGUUAGACAGCGAAAGACAAGCAACAUAUGACAUCUCCUAUAUGUGGUCUCUUAAAAAAAAAAAAGGAUACAAAUGGACAUGAUUGCAGAACAGACACAGUUGCACAGACUUUGAAAAGCUUAUGGUUACCAAAGGGGACAGGUGGGCAGAGGGAGGGAUGGUCUGGGGGGUUGGGAUUGGCAUAUGCACACUGAGGCAUAUGGGAUGAUUGGCCCACAGGGACCUGUCGUACAGGACAGAGAACGCUACCCAGUAGUCUGUGAUAAUCGAGGUGGGCAAAGAAUCUGCAAGAAAAUAGAUGGGUGUAUAUGUGUGGCGGAGCCACUUGGUUGCACAGCAGAAAUCAUCACGAACUUGUAAAUCCACUACCCUUGAAUUAACCUUGUUUUUAAGACCAAAGGAAAAAAAAAAAAGAAAUAGGUCUGAUGAAGUCCGUUAAACUUGCACCCCUAGCUGUGUCUCCUCACACCUCGCCUGAGAAGGAUGAUUUCACCAUGGCCGAGUAGACUAAAUGCAGGAAAACUCAUUUUCGGGACCAUUCUCCUCUAAGGACUUGUUUAUACACAUGCCUCGUUCUUCUGGGACUAUGACCUUGUUUAAAUGUUUGGCUCUUAACACACAGUAAUUUUAUUUUUUUUUUUCCUGAAACCACAUGCUCUCAUUUAGAAGGACUUGAAAAUGUCCACGGUCUUGGAAUUUGGGGUUAAGUCCCAGGAAUGAGGGGAAUGAGAAAGCAGGACUGAACGGGGGGGAGCUCCGUAUGAGAAAAACAGAGAAGCAAUAUUCUGCCCCAGCCCAGGGAUACCUGGCCCCAAGCACCGGCUACGGAGGGCAGGUGAGUGAGAAAGGGCGCCGGGACCCUUUAUGGUACAUAAUAACCAUCGCAGCUGUGCAAGCAGAGAUCAAAGAUCAAAUCAAAUUUCAAGCUGCAGGGACCUCAAUCCAAUCACCUGCAGAGGUCAGGGAAAGGAAUUUUUCUUCUCUGAAGAGCCCCAAGAUUGGCUGAGUUCCCAAUGGGGGAGGGGGAGGGUUGGCGCUGCCUGGAAGGAUCACAUUACUGGCUACUGCCCAGAAGCAAGGGGACACGGCCUCGGGGUGGAUGAGACUGGUGGGACCCUUCUAUUGUUCACCCGGCAGGGUGCCUGCCAAGCAGAACAGAGAAACUCCAAGAAAGCCCAGGUUCUUGGCAUCUAUUCAGGAGCUCCGGUGUAAUCAGGGCUCCACGGGCCCCUUUUGAGUGUCUGCUCUCAAGGUAGGUACCAGGGAUGCUAAAGUUGAUGCUUUUGUAGAUACUGGGUCAGCCUCCAUCCCAUCCUCCUUGGACCAGCCCAGGCUGAGGUGGGCCUUGUGCCAGAGGAGGACAGGCAGUGGAUGGCAGGGCCAUCUGCCCAGUUUGCACAUUCCACCCCCCCGCAUCCCUCCCAACCCCAGCACACACAAAGGAAAGUAGCCACAGCCGGGAAGCUCCCAGCUGUGUGGAUACCGUCUCGGUGGGCCCUGCUGGAGACAACGCCAUCUGAUCAAAAGGAGCCCCCCAGCAUCUCUGCGCCGUCAGAGAAGCAGGUGGUCCUCAGUGUUAGGUCUGGAAGGGUCCAUGGAACUCUCUGAACUUGUAUCUUCAACUCUCUCUUCCCCCUGCCUCUCCCCACUCCCACUUGAUGACAUUCCAGGGCGGGGAGAAAUUAGGAAGAUUUAUGGCAAUGGUGGGAAGGGGAUGGCCUUUGAUAGCCAAAGAGAGAACCAAAUUGAGUUCUCAAGGGAUGUACUAGAUUAUUUUUUAAAGCGCCCCCCAAUGGUAUCUCAAUGGUCUUUAUCGGCAAAGUCCUUCGGACCAGGUGAAGUGUGUCUAAGUCACGGAGGGCGGGGGAGGCUGGGUGGAAUUAAAUGGAUCAUCAAGGGAACAUGGGGGAGUCACGGGAGAGUGAACGUGGCCACUUAGACUGUGGACGUCCAUCUAACUAAUGUGUUGGGGGAAGGGGUCGGGGGAGGAAGUUUGUCACCCGUUUUAAUAUCAGAAAUUCCUUUACGUGGGUGGUAACUGGGGAACAGCUGCAGGUAGCUGAAUCGGAGCCCAAAUCCUUGCAAAAACGCCGGUGGGACCCCUGCCAACAACCAAGCAAUGGCUUUUCAAGCUGGAAGGGAGCAAGUCCGACUCAAUCUUGGUUGCUGGUCUGAUGAUGUGAGCCCAAGGCUCACAACGAAGGCUGUCCGGUCCCUGCGUGCUUGGCCAGAGGGCCCAGGGAUGCUUGGAGUUAGCUGGGUCCUCUCUGGCUCCAGGCUCUGCUAACCUGACGGAAGCCGCAGCUCAUUGGAGCCUUUCUUACGGCGGAUUUCAGUGCCACUGAAGUGAGACACAGUCCCCAGCCUCAGUACAGCUAUUUCAUCCGAGACAUUACGCAGAUCCUGCAAUGACGGGUCAGGGCUCCCAGAGGCCACCAUGUUUACAAAACUGAGGACUGACUGGGUGCUUCCUGUGAUGGACCCUUCGCUUGUUCAC